AGAACGGAAAAAGGGAAGACGAUUGUUAAAGAAACACUCAAACCGUUUAUUUUACAGAUCGAAUGAAUGGUUUCGAGGACACUUAUAGCCUCUCAGACAAUGCGGAUGUCCAACAGACUUAUAUUUGUCAUUCAUACCCUGAAAACGGUCUAAAGAGGAGUCUGGAACAAUGCAGUAAAAUUAUACAUCAUUUGUUUUCUCCAAUGUGAAAUGUUUUUCUUGCUGACAGAAAAGAAACCCUACAUUACAUUACAUUACGAAAUGCAUUUUGUGGCGCACGCUUGAAAAAAAAAGCUCUCAAGGCUCUGGAGGAAUUGUGUUUUUCCUUUUUUUUCCAUGCAUGUUUCAGAAAUCUCUGCAGCCACUUUCAUUUGAAGCGAUUCUUCUCUCCUUCUCAUGAGACUUGAAUGAGUUCUCUUUCUCCUCUCAAAACAACAUCGAAACCGCUCAACCAAUAAAAGUGAGUGUUUUCACCAAUAAAGGUUUUCGAAAAGCACUCGAACAAAAGUUUCUCAGGCAUCCGCAAAUAGAAGGAGUGAGGGACAAAAACAUUUUUUUGGAUCAGUCGAAGCUCUAGACGCAGAAGGAGACAGUGAAAGUUGAGAACAUUUUCAGGAAUCUUUGCAAACAGGGUUUCUGGAGAACAUCCAAAAUACGGAGUAAAAGAUGCUGUUUAGUUUGUUUUUUGAUUGUGUGUGUGAGUGUGUAUAUACACGGUGUGUGUUUUGACAGGGUGGUCGGUACAUAUGUGGUUCUUCAUGGUCAUGCUGAGGAGGUCACUUGGUGGAGAAACUUGGUGGGAAGGUGCGCAAUUAGAAAAGUUCAGCUAGAUUAGAAAUGACGCACUUUAAAAAGAAAGAAAGGAAAAGAGGACAUGUUUCUGCAGAUUGCACAUACCCUGGGAACGUGGGUUAGGGGUUCCAGGGGCAUGAACGCACAUGUUUUACGCACAGAUCAACGCACAGGUGAAUGUUCAUGAUCGGUGUGUACGUCAUCCUAGAAAUCGUACAGCGUUCACCCGGCGUUAGGUAAGUCCGCUUCUUUCACUUGCACACAACAUUGAAAUAAUAACACACAGCAGCGUAACCUGAUCGAGCUCUUUGGUGCGCUAGAAAAACUUCCAUUGGUUCAUAUACUGCUUCUCCUCCCUGAUGAGUGUGGAGUUGAGAACGAGUAGUCGUUUCAAAGCCAGUCACAGAAACUCCUAUAGUAUUAAAACAAUGUGCUCUUUAAGUAUCUUCCAGGUAAGUCUUAAAGGUAAGCAUUUGUUAUUAUUGAUGUCAGCCAGAUGGAGGAACUUCCCUUUGGGUGAGUAAAUUACCUCCUGAUUCUUCAAAGCCCAAUUAAUAAGCACUGAUGUGUAUAUAUUAUUCAUCAGCUGGGACCAGGCUGUAAUCCCAUAGCUGGAGCUGCAGUCAUGGGCACAUCUGCAAGGACAGUUGGCUUGGGCUGCUUGACACAUCUGCCACCCCCUUCCUUUGAGGUGCAGAUCCUCCUCAACCCAUUUCCUCCACUUUGCAGAACGAGACAGAAGAAUGACAGAAAAAACGAUGAAAACAAUAAACACUCGGAAACAUGAGCCGGCGACAACAGCGGAGUUCAAAACGCGCAUCUGGACCGCAGCGGGGGGAAACGAGAAUCACUGGGAACAAACCAGAAUGGGCCUCAAUAAGACACACACACACACACACACACACACACACACACACACACACAAUCCAAUCAUGCACAAAGUCACGCAUGCAUGCACAUAUAUAUACACACGAAUAGAUACACAUAUAUACAUCCAUCAUCUUGAAAUUGUUUUAUCGUGUUAUUCCCUUAAACAAAAAAAGGAGGGAUUGUAUAAUUCUACAGCACACACACACACACAUACACACACACACACACACACACACACAUACUUAAAUUAGAAGUUUAGCCAUGAUUUCCCAAUGUCUUCAUGCAACAGCUCCAUACACUGGGGUCACAGGGCAAUUAAGGUUACAGAGUGUGUGACCCCUCGUCACCCCCGAGGCUAGAGUGCGAAGAUGGUGUAGAGUUGAUGUGUAUGUGUGUGUAUGUGUGUGUAUACGCUAGAGCGGGGCUUUCCACCUCUGUGGGAACCUACGCAGCCACUGACAGAAGAGAGAUGAAAAAUGUUAACCUGAUAAGCCUCAAUCUGAAACCAACUAGUGGAUACAGGAUGUGUCCUUUCCCAUGAAUACGUGUAAGUGUGUGUGUGUUGUGUUUCAGAGUUUAAGGGUGUUAUAUGAGACUUUAAUAUGAGUGCUUUAGAAGUACAGCUGCCAGCGUAACAUUUUCUUGUCACGAUUAGAUUUAAUAAUAGACUAAGAUAUUGAGUUAAUCUCUGUUGUUGGUUAGCAUGUGAUCGUUAGUACUCCGGGAGCACGUCAUGCUGUCGGUGUGGUCACGUCUACACGAAUGUCAAGUGGCUCGACUGCAACACACAAUGAAACGAAAAUGUGUGUUUCAGUGUGAUUGAAUUGUCCGUAUAAUAAUAAAUACUGUCCAUGUCAUUUUUUAUUGGUUUUGAAGCAGUUAUUAGUGCAAGAGGUUCAAGUGAAGGUGUUCAUUCGAGUGUGUGUGUGUGUGUGAUAGUCUAAUCCCUUUGUACUGAAAAGUUGAAUGAUUUGCAGCAAAACUGGAUGUCAGGGCCAGAACGCUUCGGUACCCCUUUUCCAUAUGGCUAGCGGGUGAAGAGUGUGUGUGAGGUGUGAGG